UAGUAAUCGCAGAUCAGCAUGCUGUGGUGAAUACGUUCCCGGGCCUUGUACACACCGCCCGUCACACCAUGGGAGUCGGUAACACCCAAAGUUGGUAGUCUAACCGGCAAGGAGGACGCCGCCUAAGGUGGGGAUUGAUGACUGGGGUGAAGUCGUAACAAGGUAGC
rnacentral:rRNA from 1 species